rnacentral:rRNA from 1 species
GACAGAGGUGCCAAGCGUUAGGCGGAAUCACUGGGCUUAAAGCGUGUGUAGGCGGAUCGUUAAGUACCUUGUGAAAUCCCACGGCUCAACCGUGGAACUGCUGGGUAUACUGGCGAUCUUGAGCCACCUAGGGGCGAGCGGAACUUCCGGUGGAGCGGUGAAAUGCGUUGAGAUCGGAAGGAACGCCCGUGGCGAAAGCGAGGUCCUGGACGCCUACUGACGCUGAGACGCGAAAGCCAGGGGAGCGAACGGG